CCAUUGGCCACUCCGCUGCUACUGGAAGGUAAUCAUAGCCUCCUGGUGUCGCACAUCCAUGGGAAUAAUGAAUUUAUUUGGACUAGAAACUAAGACCUGCUGGAAUGUCACCAGAAUAGAACCUCUUAAUGAAGUUCAAAGCUGUGAAGGAUUGGGAGAUCCUGCUUGCUUUUAUGUUGGUGUAGUCUUUAUUUUGAAUGGACUAAUGAUGAGAUUGUUCUUCGUGUAUGGAGCAUAACCUGAGGAUGUCAUGCCCAGAGCUGUAGCGGUCAUCUUGUGACCAUAAGGGAAAGGCCAUAAAAAUAGCAGAUAUAUCUGGCCUACCAUCCUUCUGCUGCUGAACCAAUGCCAACAGUGGGACUCAACUAGGAGGUCUUAUUACAGUACUGUGCUGCUUUUUCAACCAUGGAGAGGUCACCCAUGUGAUGUGGACACAACCUCUCCGUGAAAGUUUUUCCUAUCCAUUCCUUGUACUUCAGAUGUAUAUUUUAACUUUGAUUCUCAGGACCUCGAGCAAUGAUAGAAGGCCCUUCAUUGCACUCUGUCUUUCCAAUGUUGCUUUAUGCUUCCCUGGCAAUUUGCUCAGUUUAUACUUUUUACACAGAUAGCAUCAUUAUUUCCCAUGUAUGUUGUGGGAUACAUUAAACCAGGCAAAUUUCGGAAGAUCAUUUAUCUGAACAUGGGACUAUAUUAUUCCUAUUUCAAGACUAUUGUGGAAGCACCCUCAUUUUUGAAUGGAGUAUGGAUGAUUAUGAAUGAUAAACUGACUGAAUACCCCCUUGUCAUUAAUACAUUAAAAAGAUUCAAUCUUUACCCUGAGGUAAUUUUGGCCAGCUGGUACCAGAUUUAUACCAAAAUAAUGGACUUGAUUGCUAUUGAAACCAAGAUAUGUCGGACGGUUACCAGAGGAGAAGGACUCAGUCCUACUGAAAGCUGUGAAGUGGCAGCCGAUUAGGAGGCCUGGUUACAGUGUUGUGCUUCUUUUUCAAUCAUGGAGAGUGUACCUGUGUAAUGUGGACACCACCUCUCCGCAAAAGCUUCUCAUAUCCAUUUCUUGUUCUUCAAAUGUUGCUUGUGACUCAUAUUCUCAGGGCUACAAAACUUUAUAGAGGAGGUUUGAUUGCACUCUGCAUUUCCAAUGUAUUUUUCAUGCUUCCUUGGCAGUUUGCUCAGUUUGUACUUCUUACUCAGAUUGCAUCAUUAUUUGCAGUGUACAUUGUUGGAUACAUUUAUCUAUGUAAAUUAUGGAAGAUCAUUUAUAUACACAUGAUUUCUCUUGCACUUUGUUUUGUUGUGAUGUUUGGGAACUCAAUGUUGUUAUUAUGCUGCUUCUUCGGUAAUUAUUUGGGGUAUUCUGGCAAUGAAACCACAUUUCCUGAAAAUAAAUGUAUCUGAACUUAGUUUAUGGGUUAUUCAAGGAUGUUUUUGGUUAUUUGGAACUGUCAUACUUAAAUACUUGACAUCUAAAAUUUUUGGUAUUGCAGAUGACGCACAUGAUGCUCGAAGGGGGCCUACUAUAAUAGCAAACAUCGAUUGGGGAGGGGAAGACCAAAAAAAUUGUUCAUGAACUCAUGAACAAUUGAGUGUGGAAAUGAACUGCAGUAUUUUCACACAAUAGAAUACUUCCUGGCAGUGAAAAUGAUCUACAGAUAGACAAAGCGACAUGACACUCAGAAACUUAAUAUGCAAGAAAAAGCAAGUCACAGGGUAAUAUGUAUGUAUGAUUCAACUUGUAUAAAGUUCAAAAAUCUGACACACUAAACAAUCUGUUGUUGACAAGGGAAAUAUAUCGUAAUUUUUUUUUCCUUUGAGACAGAGUCUCUGUUGCCCAGGCUGGAGUGCAGUGGCACAAUCACAGCUCACUGCAGCCUUGAUUCCCCUGGCUCAGGUGAUCUCCCGCCACAGCCUUA
rnacentral:lncRNA from 1 species